GGCUGGGAUCCUCCCUGGGGAGCUGCACCUGGAGUCCACCCAUGCUGUUCACUGCAGAGCCCCUUUCUGUGGGAGUUCCUCCUUACUCCCAGUGCCGUGAGACUGAAGGAGAAGAAAUGUGACUUGGAUGUCAAACCACAGUGUCUUUGAAUCCUGCAGGAACUGAGUGGCUUCUUGCAGCAAAAUAAGAGUAUGGAAAGCCUUGAACAACUGACCAUGGUGCAAUGUGGCCGAGAUCCCUGGACAAACACACAGGAAGGCAAACGGUGAAGACAGCAAUGUCUCACCUCAGGGGGCUGGGAAAAGUAUGGUGAUAUCUGGGCACAGAGAACCCCCAUGAGUUGGACUCUCCUCUGAAGCACGGGUGAAAGAAGAGACCACAUAAGCGUUGUUUGCAGGGAAAUCUGCUCUGAUGAACGAAGAGCUCUGAAUGGCAAGUUUGCUUCUCCUGGAAGGAUGCUUUACUAGCCACACUGUCACUACUCAUGGGCACAUAAGACUUGAAAAUGCGUAAGUUACAGUUGAAUGCAAUUUUUAAAGGUGUUUGUUAACAAGUGAUGAUUUAAAAUCUUUUGCUUUUUAUUCUUGCCUUUCAGAACAUUAAGGUUCUAACCCAGUUCCCACUGUACUCUAGAGCAGUUGUCUAGUUGGGAUUACAUCCCAGUAGUUUAACAAGGUACACCCUGUUAUUGUUUAUUGCUGUGGUUUAAAAAUAUUUGAGUGGUUGUAGGAUCUGGACUUCU